GUACUCGUGAAACUUCGUACUCAGUUUAUAAUAUUAUUAUUUAUAAAGAUGUUUAUGUAUUAUUUUCGUGUAAGUCGUAACAAAUAUAAACUAUUAUAACAGUGAUAUUCUAUAAAUGAAAGAUACGUGUUAUUAUCAUGUUAAUUAAGACAUUAUGUAAAUACUGUAAACUCUGCAGGUACCAUACACAGGGAAAAAGGAAAAAAAAGGUACAGGCGGUGACACAAGUAAUGCAAGGAAUAAUCACCACAAGGGAAAAUUUGACACCACCUCAUAUAUCAAAGAUAGGAAAAAACGUGCUAAUGCGUUUUGUAAACGUAAGCACACACUGUUUACGAAUGCGAAAUCACUAGUCAAUUUAACCGGUGCAAAUGUCACCCUUAGCAUUCAACCGGAAGACGGUCGAGCAGCGGAAGUUUACCGAUCCAAUCCAAACUAUGCAAUGACUUUGAACGCUGCCGGAGAAAACACCCUUCCAAAUGUGGAGAACAUAACAGAGCCACCACUGUCUCCUAAUUUUGUAGAAAGGGAAGAUGUUCCGGACGAUAUGGACAACGAGAAGAAAUGCAGAAUUUGUGGAG